rnacentral:ncRNA from 1 species
GGGUACCGCUCCAGGUCAAUGCUCGCUCCACUCGGUACAAGUGGAAUGCGGGCAUGG